rnacentral:rRNA from 1 species
AGCAGCCGCGGUAAUUCCAGCUCCAAUAGCGUAUAUUAAAGUUGUUGCAAGUUAAAAAGCUCGUAGUUGAAUUUCGGGAUUGGCGCAUCGGUCGUGCCUCACGGGGUAUGAACUGGUGCAGUCAAUUUCUCACCUUCUGGAGAACCGCGAUGUCCUUAAUUGGAUGCCGUGGGGAACCAGGACCCUUACUUUGAAAAAAUUAGAGUGUUUAAAGCAGGCAUUUUUUGCUUGAAUACAUUAGCAUGGAAUAAUAAAAUAGGACGGCAUGGUUCUAUUUUGUUGGUUUCUAGGACCACCGUAAUGAUUAAUAGGGAUAGUUGGGGGCAUUAGUAUUCAAUUGUCAGAGGUGAAAUUCUUGGAUUUAUUGAAGACUAACUACUGCGAAAAGCAUUUGCCAAGGAUGUUUUCAUUAAUCAAGAACGAAAGUUAGGGAUCGAAGACGAUCAGAUACCGUCGUAGUACGUUAACCAAUAAACUAUAGCCGACUAGGAAUCAGACGAUGUUUAAUUUUUUAAUGACUCGUUUGGCUACCUUAAC